UACGUAGGGAGCAAGCGUUGUCCGGAAUCAUUGGGCGUAAAGCGCGCGUAGGCGGCCCUGUAAGUCCGUUGUGAAAGUCAAAGGCUCAACCUUUGAAAGCCGAUGGAUACUGCAGGGCUAGAGUCCGGAAGAGGCGAGUGGAAUUCCUGGUGUAGCGGUGGAAUGCGCAGAUAUCAGGAGGAACACCGGUGGCGAAGGCGGGACUCUGGGCCGAUACUGACGCUGAGGAGCGAAAGCGUGGGGAGCGAACAGG
rnacentral:rRNA from 1 species